rnacentral:rRNA from 1 species
CUGGCGGCGUGCCUAAUACAUGCAAGUCGAACGAACUCUGGUAUUGAUUGGUGCUUGCAUCAUGAUUUACAUUUGAGUGAGUGGCGAACUGGUGAGUAACACGUGGGAAACCUGCCCAGAAGCGGGGGAUAACACCUGGAAACAGAUGCUAAUACCGCAUAACAACUUGGACCGCAUGGUCCGAGUUUGAAAGAUGGCUUCGGCUAUCACUUUUGGAUGGUCCCGCGGCGUAUUAGCUAGAUGGUGGGGUAACGGCUCACCAUGGCAAUGAUACGUAGCCGACCUGAGAGGGUAAUCGGCCACAUUGGGACUGAGACACGGCCCAAACUCCUACGGGAGGCAGCAGUAGGGAAUCUUCCACAAUGGACGAAAGUCUGAUGGAGCAACGCCGCGUGAGUGAAGAAGGGUUUCGGCUCGUAAAACUCUGUUGUUAAAGAAGAACAUAUCUGAGAGUAACUGUUCAGGUAUUGACGGUAUUUAACCAGAAAGCCACGGCUAACUACGUGCCAGCAGCCGCGGUAAUACGUAGGUGGCAAGCGUUGUCCGGAUUUAUUGGGCGUAAAGCGAGCGCAGGCGGUUUUUUAAGUCUGAUGUGAAAGCCUUCGGCUCAACCGAAGAAGUGCAUCGGAAACUGGGAAACUUGAGUGCAGAAGAGGACAGUGGAACUCCAUGUGUAGCGGUGAAAUGCGUAGAUAUAUGGAAGAACACCAGUGGCGAAGGCGGCUGUCUGGUCUGUAACUGACGCUGAGGCUCGAAAGUAUGGGUAGCAAACAGGAUUAGAUACCCUGGUAGUCCAUACCGUAAACGAUGAAUGCUAAGUGUUGGAGGGUUUCCGCCCUUCAGUGCUGCAGCUAACGCAUUAAGCAUUCCGCCUGGGGAGUACGGCCGCAAGGCUGAAACUCAAAGGAAUUGACGGGGGCCCGCACAAGCGGUGGAGCAUGUGGUUUAAUUCGAAGCUACGCGAAGAACCUUACCAGGUCUUGACAUACUAUGCAAAUCUAAGAGAUUAGACGUUCCCUUCGGGGACAUGGAUACAGGUGGUGCAUGGUUGUCGUCAGCUCGUGUCGUGAGAUGUUGGGUUAAGUCCCGCAACGAGCGCAACCCUUAUUAUCAGUUGCCAGCAUUAAGUUGGGCACUCUGGUGAGACUGCCGGUGACAAACCGGAGGAAGGUGGGGAUGACGUCAAAUCAUCAUGCCCCUUAUGACCUGGGCUACACACGUGCUACAAUGGAUGGUACAACGAGUUGCGAACUCGCGAGAGUAAGCUAAUCUCUUAAAGCCAUUCUCAGUUCGGAUUGUAGGCUGCAACUCGCCUACAUGAAGUCGGAAUCGCUAGUAAUCGCGGAUCAGCAUGCCGCGGUGAAUACGUUCCCGGGCCUUGUACACACCGCCCGUCACACCAUGAGAGUUUGUAACACCCAAAGUCGGUGGGGUAACCUUUUAGGAACCAGCCGCCUAAGGUGGGACAGAUGAUUAGGGUG